GGGUGGAUGGCCGAGUGGUUGAAGGCUCCAGUCUUGAAAACUGGCGAACGGGUAACCGUUCCGUGGGUUCGAAUCCCACUCCACCCG
rnacentral:tRNA from 1 species